GGGCUUAUCUCGUAGGUGACCUGCGGAGGAUCAUUACCGAGUGCGGGUCUUUAUGGCCCAACCUCCCACCCGUGACUAUUGUACCUUGUUGCUUCGGCGGGCCCGCCAGCGUUGCUGGCCGCCGGGGGGCGACUCGCCCCCGGGCCCGUGCCCGCCGGAGACCCCAACAUGAACCCUGUUCUGAAAGCUUGCAGUCUGAGUGUGAUUCUUUGCAAUCAGUUAAAACUUUCAACAAUGGAUCUCUUGGUUCCGGCAUCGAUGAAGAACGCAGCGAAAUGCGAUAACUAAUGUGAAUUGCAGAAUUCAGUGAAUCAUCGAGUCUUUGAACGCACAUUGCGCCCCCUGGUAUUCCGGGGGGCAUGCCUGUCCGAGCGUCAUUGCUGCCCUCAAGCCCGGCUUGUGUGUUGGGCCCUCGUCCCCCGGCUCCCGGGGGACGGGCCCGAAGGCAGCGGCGGCACCGCGUCCGGUCCUCGAGCGUAUGGGGCUUCGUCUUCCGCUCCGUAGGCCCGGCCGGCGCCCGCCGACGCAUUUAUUUGCAACUUGUUUUUUUCCAGGUUGACCUCGGAUCAGGUAGGGAUACCCGCUGAACUUAAGCAUAUCAUAAGGCGGGGAAGGGAA
rnacentral:rRNA from 1 species